rnacentral:rRNA from 1 species
AUGACGGCAGAGGGCCAGGCGUGGCUUGGCGUCGCCAAGAGCCACGAGGUCAUCGCCGCUGGCCUCCGCGCCACGCUGGACCAGCUGCUGCAGCCCCCCUACGUCGUCGCCUGGGACGCCUGCGUUUUGCUGAUCCCGUGCCGGCACCUGUCCCUGUGCGGUGCAUGCGAACCCACUGUGGAGACCUGCCCCGUGUGCGCGGUCACCAGAGGUAUGUAUCCCCUUAAUCCCUGUUUGAUUUAUUUUUCUGUCCCCUGUCUCGCUGGCGAGCCCAUGCGCGGCCACUGUUUCUGCUCGCGCGCUCGUGCAUGUCCCUACUGCUGCCGCCGCCGCUCGCUCGUGCCUGUGCGCGGCAGCGGCCGUGGCUUGGCCUUUUCGUUCCGUUAG